rnacentral:rRNA from 1 species
UGGGGAAUUUUGGACAAUGGGCGAAAGCCUGAUCCAGCAAUGCCGCGUGUGUGAAGAAGGCCUUCGGGUUGUAAAGCACUUUUGUCCGGAAAGAAAUCCUUGGCUCUAAUACAGUCGGGGGAUGACGGUACCGGAAGAAUAAGCACCGGCUAACUACGUGCCAGCAGCCGCGGUAAUACGUAGGGUGCAAGCGUUAAUCGGAAUUACUGGGCGUAAAGCGUGCGCAGGCGGUUUGCUAAGACCGAUGUGAAAUCCCCGGGCUCAACCUGGGAACUGCAUGGUGACUGGCAGGCUAGAGUAUGGCAGAGGGGGGUAGAAUUCCACGUGUNGCAGUGAAAUGCGUAGAGAUGUGGAGGAAUACCGAUGGCGAAGGCAGCCCCCCUGGGCCAAAUACUGACGCUCAUGCACGAAAGCGUGGGGAGCAAACAGGAUUCAGAUACCCUGGUAGUCCAGCGCCCUAAACGAUGUCAACUAGUUGUUGGGAUUCAUUUCCUAGUAACGUAGCUAACGCGUGAAGUUGACCGCCUGGGGAGUACGUCGCAAGAUUAAAACUCAAA